rnacentral:rRNA from 1 species
GGUGAAGAUGCCGUGUACCCGCGGCUAGACGGAAAGACCCCGUGAACCUUUACUAUAGCUUCGCACUGGACUUUGACUUGGUUUGUGUAGGAUAGGUGGGAGACUUUGAAGCGGAGGCGCUAGCCUUCGUGGAGUCGUCCUUGAAAUACCACCCUGGCCAAUUUGGGGUUCUAACUCAGGUCCAUGAUCUGGAUCGAGGACAGUGUGUGGUGGGUAGUUUGACUGGGGCGGUCUCCUCCCAAAGAGUAACGGAGGAGCACGAAGGUACACUCAGCAUGGUCGGAAAUCAUGCAGUGCGUGUAAAGGCAGAAGUGUGCUUGACUGCGAGGCUGACGGGCCGAGCAGGGUCGAAAGACGGUCUUAGUGAUCCGGUGGUUCUGUAUGGAAGGGCCAUCGCUCAACGGAUAAAAGGUACUCCGGGGAUAACAGGCUGAUACCGCCCAAGAGUUCACAUCGACGGCGGUGUUUGGCACCUCGAUGUCGGCUCAUCACAUCCUGGGGCUGUAGCCGGUCCCAAGGGUAUGGCUGUUCGCCAUUUAAAGUGGUACGCGAGCUGGGUUUAGAACGUCGUGAGACAGUUCGGUCCCUAUCUGCCGUGGGCGUUGGAAACUUGAGGGGAGCUUCUCCUAGUACGAGAGGACCGGAGUGGACGAACCUCUGGUGUUCCGGUUGUCACGCCAGUGGCAUUGCCGGGUAGCUAUGUUCGGACGGGAUAACCGCUGAAAGCAUCUAAGCGGGAAGCCCACCUCAAGAUGAGAUCUCACCAAAUCAUUCCGAUUUCUGAAGGGCCCUCGAAGACUACGAGGUUGAUAGGCAGGGUGUGUAAGCGCUGCGAGGCGUUGAGCUAACCUGUACUAAUUGCCCGUGCGGCUUGACCAUAUAA